CCUACGGGAGGCAGCAGUGGGGAAUGUUGGACAAUGGGCGCAAGCCUGAUCCAGCUAUUCCGCGUGUGGGAAGACGGCCUUCGGGUUGUAAACCACUUUUGUAGAGAACGAAAAGUCUGUUGAUAAUACCGAUAGAUGAUGACGGUACUCUAAGAAGAAGCACCGGCUAACUACGUGCCAGCAGCCGCGGUAAUACGUAGGGUGCGAGCGUUAAUCGGAAUUACUGGGCGUAAAGGGUGUGCAGGCGGUUUUGCAAGAUGGAUGUGAAAGCCCCGGGCUUAACCUGGGAAAGCCAUACAUGACUGCAAGACUAGAGUGCGUCAGAGGGGGGUGGAAUUCCAAGUGUAGCCGUGAAAUGCGUAGAUAUUUGGAAGAACACCGAUGGCGAAGGCAGCCCCCUGGGACGCAACUGACGCUCAUCCACGAAAGCGUGGGGAGCAAACAGGAUUAGAUACCCUGGUAGUC
rnacentral:rRNA from 1 species